CAGGGAGACAACAAAAUGUUUAAUAUUAUUAUUUUGUCACCUUAGGUCGAUCGGUAUCUCACGUUCUUAAAUUUAUUAAGAAUUUCAUUUCCUAAGUUUUUCUAGGUCACACCCAUUAUUUUUCCUGGGCCAUUAGCUCAGGUGGUUAGAGCGCACCCCUGAUAAGGGUGAGGUCCCUGGUUCAAGUCCAGGAUGGCCCAUAUCUCUAUGUUGGGGGUAUAGCUCAGUUGGUAGAGCGCCUGCUUUGCAAGCAGGAUGUCAGCGGUUCGAGUCCGCUUACCUCCACUGAUCACCACCUCUUCCAUAAUCGGUAGAAAGGAAAUUUUUUGAGUUGUGAUCAAAUUCUGAAAGAAUCUAGCUUCCUAAUGAAAUCAUUAAGAUGCUGGACUCAUUGAAUUAAUUUCAUCGUUUUCAGAGAACCUUGACAACUGCAUAGAUUAUUUUUAAAGACAAUAAGCAUCUUUAAUGAUGCAGAUUUAUUAUUUGUGCAAAUGCAUUAAUAACAAUUCUAUUAAGCUGAUGCUUCAAUAUUUGAAGUUAUU
rnacentral:tRNA from 1 species